rnacentral:rRNA from 1 species
AUUGAACGCUGGCGGAAUGCUUUACACAUGCAAGUCGAACGGCAGCACGGACUUCGGUCUGGUGGCGAGUGGCGAACGGGUGGGUAAUACAUCGGAACGUGCCCAAUCGUGGGGGAUAACGUAGCGAAAGCUACGCUAAUACCGCAUACGAUCUAAGGAUGAAAGCGGGGGAUCGCAAGACCUCGCGCGAUUGGAGCGGCCGAUGGCAGAUUAGGUAGUUGGUAGGGUAAAGGCCUACCAAGCCGACGAUCUGUAGCUGGUCUGAGAGGAUGAUCAGCCACACUGGAACUGAGACACGGCCCAGACUCCUACGGGAGGCAGCAGUGGGGAAUUUUGGACAAUGGACGCAAGUCUGAUCCAGCCAUGCCGCGUGCAGGAUGAAGGCCCUCGGGUUGUAAACUGCUUUUGUACAGAACGAAAAGGCUCUGGUUAAUACCUAGGGCUCAUGACGGUACCGUAAGAAUAAGCACCGGCUAACUACGUGCCAGCCGCCGCGGUAA